rnacentral:rRNA from 1 species
AUUGAACGCUGGCGACAGGCCUAACACAUGCAAGUCGAACGCGUGCCGCACGGGUGAGUAAUGUCUGGAUAACUGCCUGCUGGAAGGGGAUAACUACUUGACACAGUAGCGAAUACCACAUACCCUCGGAUGGGCCCAGAUGGGAUUAGCUAGUAGGUGGGGUAGAGGCCCACCUACGCGACGCUCCCUAGCUGGGCGGAGAGGAUGACCAGGUACACUGGAACGGAGACACGGUCCAGACUCCUACGGUAGGCAGGAGUGGGGAAUAUUGUACAAGGGGCGCAAGCCUGAUGCAGCCAUGCCGCGUGUAUGAAGAAGGCCUUCGGGUUGUAAAGUACUAUCAGUGUUGAGUCUUUACUCGCAGAAUAAGCACCGGCUAACUCCGUGCCAGCAGCCGCGGUAAUUC